GACGAACGCUGGCGGCGUGCUUAACACAUGCAAGUCGAACGGAAAGGCCCUGCUUUUGUGGGGUGCUCGAGUGGCGAACGGGUGAGUAACACGUGAGUAACCUGCCCCUGACUUUGGGAUAACUUCAGGAAACUGGGGCUAAUACCGGAUAGGAGCUCCUGCUGCAUGGUGGGGGUUGGUAAGAUUCGGCGGUUGGGGAUGGACUCGCGGCUUAUCAGCUUGUUGGUGGGGUAGUGGCUUACCAAGGCUUUGACGGGUAGCCGGCCUGAGAGGGUGACCGGCGACACUGGGACUGAGAUACGGCCCAGACUCCUACGGGAGGCAACAGUGGGGAAUAUUGCACAAUGGGCGGAAGCCUGAUGCAGCAACGCCGCGUGCGGGAUGACGGCCUUCGGGUUGUGAACCGAUUUCGCCUGUGACGAAGCGUGAGUGACGGUAAUGGGUAAAGAAGCACCGGCUAACUACGUG
rnacentral:rRNA from 1 species